UUUUUUAGUAUAUGUGUGUCCCAUGCAAUACUUAGGACAUACUUAUACUAAAAAA
ensembl:miRNA